ACCAAGGCUACGAUGGGUAGCCGGCCUGAGAGGGUGGUCGGCCACACUGGGACUGAGAUACGGCCCAGACUCCUACGGGAGGCAGCAGUCGAGAGGCUUCGGCAAUGGGGGAAACCCUGACCGAGCGACGUCGCGUGGGUGAUGAAGAUCUUCGGAUCGUAAAACCCUGUCAGGUGGGAUGAAAUGUCGUGUGGUGAAUAGCCACGCGGCUUGACAGUACCACCAGAGGAAGCUCCGGCCAACUCCGUGCCAGCAGCCGCGGUAACACGGGGGGAGCGAGCGUUGUUCGGAAUCAUUGGGCGUAAAGAGCUCGUAGGCGGCUCCGUAAGUCAGUGGUGAAAGGCCAUGGCUCAACCAUGGACACGCCUCUGAAACUACGGAACUUGAGGUCGGGAGAGGAAAGUGGAAUUCCUGGAGUAGCGGUGAAAUGCGUAGAUAUCAGGAGGAACACCAGUUGCGAAGGCGGCUUUCUGGCCCGAUUCUGACGCUGAGGAGCGAAAGCCAGGGGAGCGAACGGGAUUAGAUACCCCGGUAGUCCUGGCCCUAAACGAUGGGCACUAGGUGUGGGAAGUUCGACCCUUUCUGUGCCGCAGUUAACGCAUUAAGUGCCCCGCCUGGGAAGUACGGCCGCAAGGUUGAAACUCAAAAGAAUUGACGGGGGCCCGCACAAGCGGUGGAGCAUGUGGUUUAAUUCGAUGAUACGCGAAGAACCUUACCGGGGCUUGACAUGCAGCAGACUGGUGUGGAAACACAUCUUCCCCUCACGGGGCUGUUGCACAGGUGCUGCAUGGCUGUCGUCAGCUCGUGUCGUGAGAUGUUGGGUUAAGUCCCGCAACGAGCGCAACCCUUGUUCCUAGUUGCCAUCAGGUUAUGCUGGGCACUCUAGGGAGACUGCCGGUGAUAAACCGGAGGAAGGUGGGGAUGACGUCAAGUCAUCAUGGCCCUUACGUCCCGGGCUACACACGUGCUACAAUGGCCGGUACAGAGGGCUGCAAUACCGCGAGGUGGAGCGAAUCCCAAAAAGCCGGUCUCAGUUCGGAUUGGAGUCUGCAACUCGACUCCAUGAAGUCGGAAUCGCUAGUAACCGCGGAUCAGCAGGUCGCGGUGAAUACGUUCCCGGGCCUUGUACACACCGCCCGUCAAGUCAACCGAGCUGAGUGCACCCGAAGUCGCUGUACCAACCCGCAAGGGAGGAGGGCGCCGAAGGUGUGCUUGGUGAGAGGGACUAAGUCGAACAAGGUA
rnacentral:rRNA from 1 species